rnacentral:rRNA from 1 species
AACGUAGGAGCCAAACGUUAUCCGGAGUUACUGGGCGUAAAGGGCGUGUAGGUGGUUGCGUAAGUCUGGCGUGAAAUUUUUCGGCUUAACCGGGAAAGGUCGUCGGAUACUGCGUAACUAGAGGACGGUAGAGGCGUGUGGAAUUCCGGGUGUAGUGGUGAAAUGCGUAGAGAUCCGGAGGAACACCAGUGGCGAAGGCGACACGCUGGGCCGUACCUGACACUGAACCGCGACAGCAUGGGGAGCAAACAGG